CUGUGGUUACAGUGGUGCAGGCUGCUGAUGGCUGGGGAGUGACGUGCACUCCUACUCAGAUCUGUGCUGUAAAAGGAUCGAAGGUGCAAAUACGCUGCUCCUACUGGCACCCAUCCAGAAUAGAUGACCUUGAUGUUGCAGUGGAGCAAACGUACUGGUUUACUAAAGGGCAGGAUAGUGAACCUGUGGAUCUGAGAGCAGCCUCUGAGUACACAGGGCGUGUGCAGUAUCACUGUGGAAACAAGGCCUGCACUCUGACCAUCACAGACCUGAGAGACAGCGACUCUGAUGUGUACCAGUUCAGGUUCAUAACAAACCAACCGACUGGGAGUUUUACUGAUUCACCUGGAGUCUCCUUGUCUGUCACAGGUGUCCAGGUGAUCAGCAAAAAGCAUCAGGUUGCAGGAUGGAGGACUGUUCAUGGUCACGUGUGGAGUGUCAAACCAGUUGUCCUCCAACUCCCAGUCUGUCUUACAUCUGGUACAAGAACGGACAAAAGACAUGGGGAGAAAAAUCUUAUAGCGACUACUUUUAUUCAGCAGACAGCAUUUCCUGUGCUGUGAGAGGCCACGAGGAUUUCCCCUCUGCUCCAGUGUGUGUCCAUGGAAAUUCAUGCGACAGAGUGAAUUACAUCGACAGGAACAUCUGUGCCUUUAAAGGCUCAUCAGUGGACAUCUCCUGCAGUUACAACAGUCGCUAUUAUUCUAUCACAUCUAAGUUCUGGUUCGUUGCUGAGCAGCUGUAUCGCCCUCAAGCUGUGGACUUACUCAAAGACCCAGAGUUCACACAUCGUGUUCAGGUCCUUGAACCAGUGCGAGGGCGCUCCACUCUGAGAAUAAUGAACCUGAGACUG